GAUUUUGGGAAGGUCUAGCAUGCGAGUCAUUGUAGUAAUACAAGGCAGACGGCUCAGUAACGCGUAGUCAAUCUACCCUAUGGACGAGGAUAACCUCGGGAAACUGAGAAUAAUACUCGAUAGAACACUAUGCCUGGAAUGGUUUGUGUUUGAAAUGAUUUAUCGCCGUAGGAUGGGACCGCGGCCUAUCAGUUUGUUGGUGAGGUAAUGGCCCACCAAGACUAUUACAGGUACGGGCUCUGAGAGGAGUGGCCCGGAGAUGGGUACUGAGACACGGACCCAGGCCCUAUGGGGCGCAGCAGGCGAGAAAACUUUGCAAUGUGCGAAAGCACGACAAGGUUAAUCCGAGUGGUUUCUGCUAAAGGAACCUUUUGUCAGUCCUAGAAACACUGAUGAAUAAGGGGUGGGCAAGUUCUGGUGUCAGCCGCCGCGGCAAAACCAGCACCUCAAGUGGUCAGGAUGAUUAUUGGGCCUAAAGCAUCCGUAGCCGGCUUUGUAAGUUUUCGGUUAAAUCCAUGCGCUCAACGUAUGGGCUGCCGGGAAUACUGCAAAGCUAGGGAGUGGGAGAGGUAGACGGUACUCGGUAGGAAGGGGUAAAAUCCUUUGAUCUAUUGAUGACCACCUGUGGCGAAGGCGGUCUACCAGAACACGUCCGACGGUGAGGGAUGAAAGCUGGGGGAGCAAACCGGAUUAGAUACCCGGGUAGUCCCAGCUGUAAACUAUGCAAACUCAAUGAUGCAUUGGCUUGUGGCCAGUGCAGUGUUGCAGGAAAGCCGUUAAGUUUGCCGCCUGGGAAGUACGUACGCAAGUAUGAAACUUAAAGGAAUUGGCGGGGGAGCACCACAAGGGGUGAAGCCUGCGGUUCAAUUGGAGUCAACGCCGGG
rnacentral:rRNA from 1 species